CUCCCGCCUCCCCUGUCACUUGAGGUAAAGUGUCUAAGUCCCGCGGUGGCGAUUAUCGUAAUAUUUCUCAUCCAUCCGUGCGUCAGGAGGGCUGCGGUUCGUGUGGAGCUGAGAUGGUGGCAAGCCCUCAGAGCAGUACAGGGCCUCGCAUCACUGGGAUCUUGGAUGCUGCUACUGCUUCUACUGCUGCUGCCGCCACCACAGACUGCCGCCCUGUCCUCAGCGGAGAGCCAAGAUGAGUCUCCGCUCACUGCAGCAGAGGAGGUGUCGUCCGUGUAAGUCUUGUGGAGGGAAGAGCAUGGUUACAAUAGCAGCCGUGUCCAGGGACGACUCUCCUCUCCAGCCGACGAUUUCCUUCUCUUCCUGUCACCGUAACAGAAGCGCCGCUGGAGAACCCGAGUCCGACAGUAGCCUGCAUGAGUGCACCGCGUGGUACCACCUCAGUGAUUAGUGAGGAGAGGAGCCCAACAAAACUUUCAGCGUCACCUGCCACCCGUCACCCUCCACCUGUGCCGCCAAGCUGCUUAGUGUUCCAGGCCAACGUUGACUCGCCCCAGACAAGGCACAACUACGUGGAACCGCCCGUGCUGGGUCGGUUUGUGAGGUUGCACGUACUGGAAUGGCACUCACAACCCUCCAUGCGCUUUGAGCUGCUCGGCUGU